rnacentral:rRNA from 1 species
GAUGAACGCUGGCGGCGUGCCUAAUACAUGCAAGUCGAGCGAACAGACGAGGAGCUUGCUCCUCUGACGUUAGCGGCGGACGGGUGAGUAACACGUGGAUAACCUACCUAUAAGACUGGGAUAACUUCGGGAAACCGGAGCUAAUACCGGAUAAUAUAUUGAACCGCAUGGUUCAAUAGUGAAAGACGGUUUUGCUGUCACUUAUAGAUGGAUCCGCGCCGCAUUAGCUAGUUGGUAAGGUAACGGCUUACCAAGGCAACGAUGCGUAGCCGACCUGAGAGGAUGAUCGGCCACACUGGAACUGAGACACGGUCCAGACUCCUACGGGAGGCAGCAGUAGGGAAUCUUCCGCAAUGGGCGAAAGCCUGACGGAGCAACGCCGCGUGAGUGAUGAAGAUCUUCGGAUCGUAAAACUCUGUUAUUAGGGAAGAACAAAUGUGUAAGUAACUAUGCACGUCUUGACGGUACCUAAUCAGAAAGCCACGGCUAACUACGUG